ACUAGGAUCAUGAAACUUAAUAGAGACAUUGAUCAUGACCAGCAUCUGACCCCUACUGAUUUUCAGGUCAAUAGGUCAAAGGUCAAGGUCACAGUGACCUGAAACAGUAAAAUGGUUAACUGGAAAUAGCAAAAUGUUUUCCGAAUGAUAACUCAAGAACGCUUACCCCUGGGAUCAUGAAACUUCAUAGGGGCAUUGAUCAUAACUGGCAGAUGACUCAUUGAUUUUCAGGUCACUAGGUCAAAGGUCACAGUGAAACGAGGCAGUAAAGUGGUUUACUGGAAAUAGGAAAAUGCUUUCCAGAUGAUAACUCAAGAAGGCUUACGCCUGGUAUCAUGAAACCAUCACCACCUCCACCACCACCACAAUGACAAAAAACGUAUUCACACAAUGGCUGCCGUUACAACUGACAGCCCAUAUGGGGGGCAUGCAUUUUUACAAACAGCCCUUGUUCUUUUUCAAGUAACCAGUCUUAAAAACUUUUAAUGGGCCAAAAAAUAAUUUGGUUUUGUUAAUUUAAUGUCACCUGAAUAUGUAUACAUGUAUUCAUAGUGUUUUAAAUAUAGUGAACUUGUGUUUGCUGUAGGUAUAAUGGCAUUUUUAACAUACCUGAAAUUACGCAUAUACUUGCUUGAUUUUGUCAUUUGCAAAGAUUGCCAACAUACAACAUGAAGAAGUAAUUAGGCAAAAUUAUUUUUACAAUACUUGAGGCUGAACCCUACACAUUCAGUUUAAUUGGGUCUAGCCACUCAUUAGUUAUCAAUAAGAAAGCAGGGAGAUUUAAUAUUUGAGUUUCAUCUACAGAUCAUGAGAUGUAGCAUUUAUAGGUACAGGAAAAGACUCGACCUUGUAUAAAUGCAAAGGAUCUUUCAGUUAUAAAAUUAGAAGUUUUAAAAUUAAAAACAAGCUUGAUCUUGUAAACAGAAAAUCAUUCAUUGAGUACACGACUUUCCAUUGAUUAAAUCAGGAACUCCUAACUUAAAUUCUUCUAAUUCAUCAUGUAUGCUAUUGGUUUCUCUUAUAUGAUCCAUAAGAAUACUUGUAACAUAAUAAAUGACUUGGUGCAUAUUUGAGGAUGUUGACUGCAAUCCACAGUCAAUAAAUUUGUUUGGUAGCAUGUUAUAUUUAAUACCUGACAUACAGUUGUCCAUUCUUAUAAAUGGUUAGUUUAUUCAUGUGAUCAGCAAGAAAAUUUACAUGAUCCAUUGUUGUAGUGCCGAAAAGUCCUGUUGAAAGUUUAUCUAUGAAAAGCAAAAGUGCACUUUUACUACUCGAUUAGAUUAUGGUUGAUUAAAGAAUGAGACUAUAAAUACUCGAAAUUGUACACUUGUAUUUUGCUCCUGUUCAUUGUCUGAGGCUUUUUAUUCGAGUCAUCAUGUGAGAUAACAUGUGACACGAUUGAUUGUUCACUUAACAAGCUUGAAGUGCAGGCACAUCAAAUUAAUUUGUGUUCCUCUUCAAUUAAAGCAUGAUGUCUAUUUAUUAAGAGGGUGUUAUUUUCAACUGCUAAUAUGUAAAAGGUGAUUUUCCUAUAAAAGACUAUUUUACAUCUUAACCAUUCGAAAAUUUAAGUGCGUUUUCCUUUGUUAUUUAGCCCUUUUACAUUUACAGUACAUAUGUUAAUACUCAUACAAAAGACAGAGAAUUACAUGAUGCUAUUCUUGUUCCAAACAUUUAAAAAUCAUUUUGUAGAACUAGAUUAUUAUGCCCCCCUUCGAAGAAGAGGGGGUAUAUUGCUUUGCUCAUGUCGGUCGGUCGGUCUGUCUGUCCACCACGUGGUUGUCAGACGAUAACUCGAGAACCCUUGGGCCUAGGAUCAUGAAACUUCAUAGGUACAUUGAUCAUGACUUGCAGAUGACCCCUAUUGAUUUUGAGGUCACUAGGUCAAAGGUCAAGGUCACGGUGACCAGAAAUAGUAAAAUGGUUUUUGAAUGAUAACUCAAGAACGCAUACGCCUAGGAUCAUGAAACUUCAUGGGUAGAUUGAUCAUGACUUGCAGAUGACCCCUAUUGAUUUUGAGGUCACUAGGUCGAAGGUCAAGGUCACGGUGACCCGAAAUAGUAAAAUGGUUUAGGAUGAUAACUCAAGAACGUUUACGCCUAGGAUCAUGAAACUUCAUAGGUAGAUUGAUCAUGACUUGCAGAUGACCCCUAUUGAUUUUGAGGUCACAAGGUCCAAGGUCACGGUCACCCGAAAUAGGAAAAUGAUUUUCGUAUGAUAACUCGAGAACGCUUUUGCCUAGAAUCAUGACACUUCAUAGGUACAUUAAUCGUGACCCGCAGAUGACCCCUAUUGAUUUUCAGGUCAAAGGUCAAGGUCACAGUGACAAAAAUCGUAUUCACACAAUGGCUGCCACUACAACGGAAAGCCCGUAUGGGGGGGAUGCAUGUUUUACAAACAGCCCUUGUUAGUUAAUACUUCAUUAUGCAAAGUUAUAUUAAGCUUUGAUGUUUAAAACCAUCAACUUCCAUGUUCUACAAGUUGUUAAUGCAUUGUAUUCAUUAAAUUGAUCUCAGCACUAAAUACUUGUUCAUUUUUUUCGAUGGUAUUGGUAACUCUGCCCUGCCUUUAUUUAGAUUGAUCUCGGUACAAUUUAUAAACAUUUCAUUAUCAAUAGCACUUUGCUUUUUGAGUGGUUACUCCUCCGUUGUUAUAUGAAUAAUUUAGUGAAAAUGUUAAAUGUGUUUAAAUAUUGUUCCAAAAUAUUUUAUAACACUCAAUAGUGAUGCCAUCAGAUUCCGGACUUUUGUUAUUUGGCAUUUUUAAACGAGCUUGUCAAUAUUCAUAUUCAGUUUGUAAUCCUUCACAUCAUUGUUAUCUUUUCCUUUAAAGCAUAAUGUGUUAUAUUAAACAGGUUGUUUUUUUCAACAUUCUUUCGUUUAUAGUUUUCCGCAAAAUAGGCUUCUCCUAUAAUUUGACUUUUAUUUGUUAUGUCUUUGCCAUUAACUACUAGUCUGUGUAUAGUUUUGAGUUUGCUACUACGUUUUAAAAUGUUUGCACAGUAUUUUGUAUUGUUUUCAUUGUGUUCAACAUGCUGUGCCCAUGCUCAAAUUAAUAUGCCGUUGAGGUGUGUGUGAUAAAUUCCUUCCAUUAUUUUUUUGGUGUGUGAAAAUUUCCAUCUUCAAUGGAGGUGGUAUAAUUUGUGUUUCUUUUAUGCAUCUGUUUUUCAAGUGCUUCAAUGACUUUUAUGGCUUCAUUUUCAAGUUUGUGUGUUUCUUUUUUUUUUUUAGCUUACCUGAGCACAACGUGCUUAUGGUGAGCUUUUGUGAUUGCCUUUUGUGUGUCGUCUGUCGUGCAGCGUCAACAUUUACCUUGUUAACACUUAAGAGGUCAUAUUUAUUGUCCAAUCUUCGUGAAACUUGGUCAGAACAUGUGUCCCAUUAAUAUCUUGGACAAGUUCGAAAAUGCUUCUUAUUGUUGAAAAACCUGGGUGCCAAGGGGCGUGGCAGUUUUCCUAAUAUGGCUAUUGUAAAACCUUGUUUAAGACUGUAGAAGUUACAUUUUUUGUCCAAUCAUCAUGAAACUUGGUCAGAACAUGUGUUCCAAUAAAAUCUUUGACAAUUUCAAAAAUGAUUCCGUUGGAAGAAAAACAUGGCCGCCAGGGGGCGGGGCAGUUUUCCUAUUAAGGCUAUAGUAAAACUUGUUCACACUGUAGAAGUCAAAUUUAUUGUCCAAUCUUCAUGACUUAGUCAUAACAUUUGUUCUAAUGAUAUUUUGAUCGAGUUCGAAUAUGGACUAAUUGGUUGAAAAACAUGGCUGCCAGGUGGCGUGGCAGUUUUUCCUUAAAUGGCUACAGUAAAACCUUCAUAACACUCUAGAAGUCACAUUUUUAGAUCCUCACAACAUGUUUCCCUAUAAAAUCUUAAAUGAGUUCGAAAAUGGUUCCAGUUGAAUAAAAAACAUGGCCGCCAUUGGUCGUGGCAGUUUCUUUCGUUUAGUGUUUCGAAAAAUAAGCUUCUUCUAUCAUUUGACUUUGAUUUGUUACGUCUUUGCCAUUAACUACUAGUCAGUGUAUAGUUUUGUGUUUGUUUCUACGUUUUAAAAUGUUUGCACAGUAUUUUGUAUUGUUUUCAUUGUGUUCAACAUGCUGUGCCCGUGCUCGAAGUACUAUGCCUUAGGGCCUAACGGCCCUCUUGUUUUAAAUGACGUGCAUCUUAUUGUUGUGUUAAGUAUCUUGCCUUUAAUUAUUUCCUAUAAGGUGUUUGGAUUUGCGUCUUUGUUAUCUUAAAUUGUAUUGGUUAUUACCUGUUAUAUUUGUGUUUCAUAUUGUGUAUUUUUCAAAAGCUAUUAUUUACUUUUAUAAAAAAAAGGAACAUUUUGAAUAGCAUAAUUGAAAACUACAAUUUCAUAAACAUAUGGCAUACAGUUAAUCAUAAUGAAAGAAAAUUCACCUGCCACUCAAACACAAAACCAGCAAUAUUUUGGAGUAAGAUUUUUUUUAAUAUGCGAGUCUAUUUGCAACAUUAUCGACACAUGCAACAUAAAACCAGGAUUUAUGACUGAUCACUCUGUAGUUGAACUUUAACUGCAUGAAAUACAACCUGAAAUAGCCCAAGGUACUUUAAAGAUUUCCAUUUCUUUUAUCUCUAAUAAUGGGUUAAAAACAAUAUUGAAAUCCUCUCCGACUAUCUAUGUUCGGACCAUAAACGUUCAUUAAUGUUAAUUGUGUUCCGUGUAUUUUUAUUCCCCUCUUCGAAGAAGAGAGGGUAUAUUGCUUUCCUCAUGUCGGUCAGUCCGUCCGUCCACCAGGUGGUUGUCUUAGACGAUAACUCAAAAACGCUUGGGCCUAGGAUCAUGAAACUUCAUAGGUACAUAGAUCAUGACUCGCAGAUGACCCCUAUUGAUUUUGAGGUCACUAGGUCAAAGGUCACGGUGACCCGAAAGAGUAAAAUGGUUUUUGAAUGAUAACU